AAAAACUCCGGUGGUAUGAGAUGGGCCCGCGUCUGAUUAGCUGGUUGGUGAGGUAACGGCUCACCAAGGCAACGAUCAGUAGCCGACCUGAGAGGGUGACCGGCCACAUUGGGACUGAGACACGGCCCAAACUCCUACGGGAGGCAGCAGUGGGGAAUAUUGCACAAUGGGGGAAACCCUGAUGCAGCGACGCCGCGUGAGCGAUGAAGUAUUUCGGUAUGUAAAGCUCUAUCAGCAGGGAAGAAAAUGACGGUACCUGACUAAGAAGCCCCGGCUAACUACGUGCCAGCAGCCGCGGUAAUACGUAGGGGGCAAGCGUUAUCCGGAUUUACUGGGUGUAAAGGGAGCGUAGACGGCGAUGCAAGCCAGAUGUGAAAGCCCGGGGCUCAACCCCGGGACUGCAUUUGGAACUGUAUAGCUAGAGUGUCGGAGAGGCAGGCGGAAUUCCUAGUGUAGCGGUGAAAUGCGUAGAUAUUAGGAGGAACACCAGUGGCGAAGGCGGCCUGCUGGACGAUGACUGACGUUGAGGCUCGAAAGCGUGGGGAGCAAACAGGAUUAGAUACCCUGGUAGUCCACGCCGUAAACGAUGACUACUAGGUGUCGGGCAGCAAAGCUGUUCGGUGC
rnacentral:rRNA from 1 species